AUUGAACGCUGGCGGCAGGCCUAACACAUGCAAGUCGAACGCGUGGCGGACGGGUGAGUAAUGUCUGGGAAACUGCCCGCGGGAGGGGGAUAACUCCUGGAAACGGUAGCUCAUACCGCCUACCAUCGGAUGUGCCCAGAUGUGAUUAGCUUGUAGGUGAGGUAACGGCUCACCUAGGCGACGCUCCCUAGCUGGUCUGAGAGGAUGAACAGCCACACUGGAACGGAGACACGGUCCAGACUCCUAAGGGAGGCAGCAGUGGGGAAUAUUGCACAAUGGGCGAAAGCCGGAUGCAGCCAUGCCGCGUGUAUGAAGAAGGCCUUAGGGUUGUAAAGUACUUUCAGCGGGGAGGCGUUACACGCAGAAGAAGCACCGGCUAACUCCGUGCCAGCAGCCGCGGUAAUUC
rnacentral:rRNA from 1 species